rnacentral:rRNA from 1 species
GCUUGCACAGGUGCUGCAUGGCUGUCGUCAGCUCGUGUCGUGAGAUGUUCGGUUAAGUCCGCUAACGAGCGCAACCCUCACUGUGUGUUAUAUGUGUCACACGGGACUGCCGGUUUUAAGCCGGAGGAAGGUGGGGAUGACGUCAAGUCAGCAUGGCCUUUAUAUCCUGGGCUACACACACGCUACAAUGGUCGGUACAAUAGGUUGCCAAGCCGCGAGGCGGAGCCAAUCCAUAAAAGCCGGCCUCAGUUCAGAUUGUAGGCUGCAACUCGCCUGCAUGAAGAUGGAGUUGCUAGUAACCGCAGGUCAGCAAUACUGCGGUGAAUACGUUCCCGGGUCUU